CCUACGGGAGGCAGCAGGGGGGAAUAUUGCACAAUGGGGGAAACCCUGAUGCAGCGACGCCGCGUGAGUGAAGAAGUAAUUCGUUAUGUAAAGCUCUAUCAGCAGGGAAGAAAAUGACGGUACCUGAGUAAGAAGCCCCGGCUAACUACGUGCCAGCAGCCGCGGUAACACGUAGGGGGCAAGCGUUAUCCGGAUUUACUGGGUGUAAAGGGAGCGUAGACGGCAGUGCAAGUCUGGAGUGAAAGGCGGGGGCUCAACCCCCGGACUGCUCUGGAAACUGUACGGCUGGAGUGCAGGAGAGGUAAGUGGAAUGCCUAGUGUAGCGGUGAAAUGCGUAGAUAUUAGGAGGAACACCAGUGGCGAAGGCGGCUUACUGGACUGUAACUGACGUUGAGGCUCGAAAGCGUGGGGAGCAAACAGGAUUAGAUACCCCUGUAGUC
rnacentral:rRNA from 1 species